UACGAAGGUGGCAAGCGUUGUUCGGAUUUACUGGGCGUACAGGGAGCGUAGGCGGGCCAGCAAGUCAGGGGUGAAAGCCCACGGCUCAACCGUGGAAGUGCCUCUGAUACUGUUGGCCUCGAGGGAGGUAGGGGCGUGCGGAACUUCCGGUGGAGCGGUGAAAUGCGUAGAUAUCGGAAGGAACAUCGGUGGCGAAAGCGGCGCGCUGGACCUCUACUGACGCUGAGGCGCGAAAGCCAGGGGAGCAAACGGG
rnacentral:rRNA from 1 species